rnacentral:rRNA from 1 species
AGUGAACGCUGGCGGCAGGCCUAACACAUGCAAGUCGAGCGGCAGCGGGUCCUUCGGGAUGCCGGCGAGCGGCGGGCGGGUGAGGAAUACAUCGGAAUCUGCCCUGUCGUGGGGGAUAACCUAGGGAAACUUAGGCUAAUACCGCAUACGACCUACGGGUGAAAGCGGGGGAUCGCAAGACCUCGCGCGACAGGAUGAGCCGAUGUCCGAUUAGCUAGUUGGCGGGGUAAAGGCCCACCAAGGCGACGAUCGGUAGCUGGUCUGAGAGGAUGAUCAGCCACACUGGGACUGAGACACGGCCCAGACUCCUACGGGAGGCAGCAGUGGGGAAUAUUGGACAAUGGGCGCAAGCCUGAUCCAGCCAUGCCGCGUGGGUGAAGAAGGCCUUCGGGUUGUAAAGCCCUUUUGUCCGGGAAGAAAUCGUCUGGGCUAAUACCCCGGGCGGAUGACGGUACCGGAAGAAUAAGCACCGGCUAACUUCGUG